CGAGAGUGAGCCGUCAAACCUUCUUCAAUAGCGUGCCGUGAAGUUGAUGGACUCAGCCAAGUGACACAUGAAAAGAAUCUUGAGAUAGUUUCAAGUUGCUGGAAGUCACAUAACCCUGCUGCUGGUAAAUCUCUUUCUCAACACAGAACAAUGAGGACAGUGCUUCUUCUGCUGCUGUUGCUGCUGAGCUCAGUCAGCUCUCAGGAAACACUGGAAAAGCGUGAUGAUCCAAUGAAAUCCAA